UACGUAGGGGGCAAGCGUUGUCCGGAAUCAUUGGGCGUAAAGCGCGUGUAGGCGGUUCGAUAAGUCUGCUGUGAAAGUCCAGGGCUCAACCCUGGAAAGCCGGUGGAUACUGUCGGACUAGAGUGCGGAAGAGGCGAGUGGAAUUCCCGGUGUAGCGGUGAAAUGCGCAGAUAUCAGGAGGAACACCAAUGGCGAAGGCAGCUCGCUGGGACGUGACUGACGCUGAGACGCGAAAGCGUGGGGAGCAAACAGG
rnacentral:rRNA from 1 species